UACCUUGUGAUAUUUUGAAGAGUAUUGUGAGCAAUUCCCACACUAAGAACCGAUCACUCUCCAUCUCUCAUUCACUAUCAUCUUUUUUGAAGACCUCUCAAAGUGUUCUCUCCAUUUUUCAAGCCCAAGAACACCAAGGAAACUUUGAGGCUAAGUCUUGGUCUAGGAAGUAUUUUCCCUAAGUUUGUUAGGGUUUUUGAAAGGUUUUGGAGGAGCCAAAGCUAAUAGGAAGGUCCAAACCUUAAGCAAGAACACCAAAGAGUAUUGGCUAAGCGUAACUGGACUGAACGUUGGAGGGUGAAAACCUGCUGAGCGCUAAGGACUCCAAGUAAG